rnacentral:rRNA from 1 species
CCUUCGGGGAGCUUUUAUACAGGUGCUGCACGGCUGUCGUCAGCUCGUGUCGUGAGAUGUUGGGUUAAGUCCCGCAACGAGCGCAACCCUCGUCACUAGUUACUAACGGUUCGGCCGAGGACUCUAGUGAGACUGCCUUCGCAAGGAGGAGGAAGGUGAGGACGACGUCAAGUCAUCAUGGCCCUUACGGCUAGGGCAACACACGUGCUACAAUGGCCAGGACAAUGAGACGCGAUACCGCGAGGUGGAGCAAAUCUAUAAACCUGGUCUCAGUUCGGAUUGUUCUCUGCAACUCGAGAACAUGAAGCUGGAAUCACUAGUAAUCGUAGAUCAGCUAUGCUACGGUGAAUACGUUCCCGGGUCUUGUACUCACCGCCCGUCACACCAUGGGAGUUGAUUUCACCCGAAGCGGGGAAGCUAAACUGGCUACCCUCCACGGUGGAAUCAGCGACUGGGGUGAAGUCGUAACAAGGUA